GGCUGAGGGGGAGGAAGGAGGCUCAGGAGACACACGGCUGCUCUGUGACAAUCCUGCCACGUGCUGCCCCGGCCGGAGACAUGCCCACAGUGCCUAAGAAUACAGCAGGUGCCUAAUAAUUACUUGCUGAAUAAAUGAGUGAAUGAACGAACGAACACACAGACGAACAAGCAAUCAGAAGAGGGGCGAGAGAAGGCUGUCAGAUCUAUGCAUCUUAUUGAAUGUAAAUCAUACUUGAAUAAAGUUGGGCGUGGGGAGCACCUCCUGGAAGCAUUGAGGAGGUCUGACUGAGGCGCUCAGGCUGGAGCACGCAGAGAGGCCUCCUCCAGUCUCUAAGUCCUCAGCCUGUUCCUGCUCCAUCCCUUGGGCUUCCAGCUGUCACCUGUGUCACCAUCUUGUGAUGCUCCCUGACUCAUGGGAGAAGAAGCACAGAUGACUUCAGCUCUGUGAGGUCAACAGAGGGGGGCCCUGGGGCCUUCCAGAUGUGCUUGCUGCUCUGUGGGGAGGAGGAUGGCCCCUGGCAGGCCACCUUGGCUCAUGAGUGGUUUGGGGCACCCAGGGAACCAUCAGAACCUCCAGCAUAAACCACCUGGGGGGGCUUAACUCAACCUCCCCAUGUAACCAAGGAGAGAACUAAGGUCCCAGAGGGCGGAAGAGUAUCUCAAGGGCUGCUUUUCUCCUACCUCCUCCUGGACCCUAUGGUCCAUGUCCCCCAUGUCCUCAGCCUGCCUUUUGUCUGUGGAAAAAUUUUAGCCAAAAAAUAAGUUUAAUCAGAGAAGCAAGAAAAUGCAGAAACAAAGGAAAACAGUCAAAGGAGACCAAAUAAUAACAGUUUAGUCAUUAAACAUAGUCAAGUACAUUUAGUUCCUUCUCACGGGCUAUAGAUAAUAUUCUGAGCCAUAUUCUGUGAGCUGUCUUGUAGAGGCUGAAACCCCCACCAGGUGGAGACGUCAACUACAUGAUGACCAGACUGUAGCCUUGACAUAUGCUGCCCCCAUUCCGAGAACUGGCCU